rnacentral:lncRNA from 1 species
CAAGGUCGUUUCUCUUUAAUCAUAUGGUAAUAUAUUAGUUACAGAGACUUGCAUAAGAAGAAGGGGAAUUUACAUUUUUGACUGAUUUGUUUCCAGUAUUGUCAUAGGUGAAAUGUCUGUCAGGUUUCAUGAAAGUAUUUUUUGUGUUCUUAUGGUCCUUGCCGUAGCAUUUCCCUUUUCUCAGUUAUUGGUACCUUGAGGCCAAAAAAACAAACAUCCAGUUUGGCGUUAGGAAAGAUGCCUAUGCCUUGAUUUAAUUUUACAAGCUCAGAUUACUAUUGGACGUCAAAAAAUAGAAAACAGAUAUUACAUUCAGAAAUGCUAUACAUUAUUAUACAUUAAGCCCGCUCAACAUCCUCAUAAUAGACAUUCAAACAAGGUACUAUCUUUUGAAUAUAAACAUUUUAAGAAAGGAAAAUAAAAGGGUUAUUAUUGUUAUUAUAGGAUUGUUAAUUUCUCUAGCUUUUACGUCUUUUCGAAAUCUCAACAAUCUGAUAUUGGUUUAACUAUUGUACUAUAAUUGUAAGCUUGAAGUUAGUCACAUGUAAUGAAUAUUAAUUGUUUAUAAAAGUGCUUCUGUAUAUUGAUUAAUGAGGGAAAUAAGGCUGUAAUGUGGCUGAAAUAGCUAAAUCCACUAAUUUGAAUGGGUGUCCACAUAAUUUUGUAUAUACAGAGUAUAGUGUAUAUAUGCGCAAUACAAAAAUAAGUGAUCUAAUGAUUCUAUCUUCGUGGCAAAAUCUGCAGAGCUGAGAUGGUUGUAUGCCCCAUAUAAAUGUUGCCUUGAAAUUAGAUGACCAUCAUAGGCUUUUCCAAUUCCGUAGAAAAUAUUUGGCAUCUUGAGUUGACAACUGGCCCCGGUUUAGAAUCGGAAAAAGUCCUGUUUCAAAUGAAGUAUUCUUCUUUCUAUUCUUCCUCGUUCAAAAUCUCUAGUUGAACCUGUUCAAUUUGAGAGGCACUGCCAUACGUGUCGACAGAAUCACCACACUCGGCCUCGUAGGUGUGGUAAUUGCCCUUACGCUUGGCGAUGUAGCACAGUACCAGCGCCCCGACCAGCACCAGCACCCCCAACAGAGGAAAAAUUACUUCUGGGAAGGGAGAGAGACGGGUAUAAAUUAGACUGACAAAGGGGAGAAUGGUCUCUGAAAAUAUAGAAUACUCUUAAAGAGUAAUAUGUUUGUUCAUAAGACACGUUAUCAUAGGGGUAAUCAUGAACUAGAACAUCAAAGAAACAUUACAUUUUUAUGUGUUAGUUCAUUGAUUUCAGGUAGGUGGAUCGGCAGGUAGCCUAGCGUUUUAAGAUUGUUGGGCCAGUAACCGAAAGGUCAUUGGUUCAAAUCCCUAAGGUGAAAAAUCUGUCGACCUGCCCUUGAGCGAAGCACUUCUAGAAGUUUCUCUGGAUAAGAGCACCUGCGAAUUGACUUCAAAUGUAAGUCAAAUAAAUGACAUUUCUUGAUAGAGUAAAAAAAAAGAUGUCAGAACGUUGUUUCCUCAGCAUGGCGAGGGAAACGAUAACAAUUAUAUAGGUGAAACCAGAAACAAUUAGUUGAGGACUUUCCAUUUACGUAUACUCAUGGAAUUAGUUCCAUUUUCAGACUAUAGAGAGAACAAUAAUGCUUCCACAUCUGGAUAACCAUCUCUAAAGCUUAGGGGUUAGGCCGGGCUAAUGUAAAGCACCUUGUGACAACUGCUCAUAUAAAAACGGCUUUAAAAAUACAUUGUGAUUGAUAUAUUUCUCACCUAUGAAAAUGGCUUCAAAGGAUCCCUCAUAUGUGUUGGUGGCUCCCACUGCAAAUGACACCAGAACAGACAACACGAUAAUGACAUUAGAGAGACAGGGCCUCGUAGUCAACACACAGAAAUGUACGAUACCUACUGAUUUAUCAUUACAUUUCCCUUCAGAUUUCACCAUACAUUCAUUACGCUAGCUUGUUUGACGCUUGCUUGCGUUGCUUAUCACCGUAGUUUGACUCUGGUUUAGACUAUACAGUACUGACAGAGUUGUGUGUACAGUAUACGAUGUGGCUUUGAGUACAGCUACACUGUUGACUUUAAGUAGCCUAUCUCCUGAUUCUCCUGUGUCUGAAGCACGGAGGCAGCUUGAUGUACAAGUACACCUCCUGGACAGGCCGCUAGUCUAGCGCAGGGCCUGUUGACUGAAUGUUAUUCUCUCACUAAAACAGUGACAGGUAGAAGGUGCCUUUCUACCUGUAAAAAGUGAAGGGAGACUAAAUCAAGAGGAAUGAAGGAGAUGCUAAGUAUAAGUUAUUGCAAUGGAACAGCCGUCCAAUCCACCUUGACUUUAAUCAAGCCAAGGGACACAAACACUCCAAUCAGCUCAAUGUGUGUCAUCCCCUCCACCCAACCUAUCUCACAGUGCAUCCCCAAUACACAUACACACACUUCCCAGAACAACUUCCAGGUGUUUAGUGAAAAAAGUCACACACUUCAAAAGUGCCAAGUAAAAAAAAAAAGAAGUGUGCCGGGGCGCUUCAGUGGGCAAUACCUCAUUAACUCUUAAUUACCUGCUUCAUCAGAGGAGUUAGCCUAUCAUUAAUGAUUCAUUAAUCACUAUCGCAAAAUGUGCAACCCCUUCCAAGGAUGCCUCCCAAAUGGAACCCUAUUCCCCUUCAUAGUGCACUACUUUUGACCAGGGCCCCUGGUGCUCUGGUCAAAAAGUAGCACACUCCAUAGGGAAUGUUGCGCCCACCAAGUCAUUAUCAAGAUACAUGCGUCGAUAACCACCCUCCCUGAACAGGGGCACAAGUGUAGUGGAUGACAUGGCGGAGGUUGAGCUGAGAGUGGGAGAUUGCUGCAUUUAGAAGUGAAAGAGGGUAAGAGGUGUUAGUAGUGUGUGUCAGUACUGAGAGAGUACAUGUUUGAGCAGGGAGAGGAGAGUUCACAGGGUUUUUUAACUCUCACCGUGUGAGGUCAGAGACAGGAUGGUAAUUGAGACUGAGGCAUGUAGGCUUCAGGGAAAGACUACUCUCUCUGUCUGCUCACACACACACACACACACACACACACACGCGCGCAGUGAGAGACUUCAGGGAGAGAUUGCUCGUGCUCGCUCUCGGUCUGCUCACACCCAGCCUUGUCAUAUCCAUAUCCCCCUGCCUCUUCUUACAACAUUUGCAUACGUCUCCCUUUUUAUAUUCAUACAUACACUACAUGACCAAAAGUAUGUGGACACCUGCUUGUUGAACAUCUCAUUCCAGGGACCAACACUCUAGGGGUGUCAGUUUGGGAACACUAUUUCGGUGGAUCACAUAUAA